GAUGAAGAACGUAGCGAAAUGCGAUAAGUAAUGUGAAUUGCAGAAUUCAGUGAAUCAUCGAAUCUUUGAACGCACAUUGCGCCCGCCAGUAUUCUGGCGGGCAUGCCUGUUCGAGCGUCAUUACAACCCUCAGGCCCCCGGGCCUGGCGUUGGGGAUCGGCGGAAGCCCCCUGCGGGCACAACGCCGUCCCCCAAAUACAGUGGCGGUCCCGCCGCAGCUUCCAUUGCGUAGUAGCUAACACCUCGCAACUGGAGAGCGGCGCGGCCACGCCGUAAAACACCCAACUUCUGAAUGUUGACCUCGAAUCAGGUAGGAAUACCCGCUGAACUUAAGCAUAUCAAUAGCGAGGA
rnacentral:misc_RNA from 1 species